rnacentral:rRNA from 1 species
AUUGAACGCUGGCGGCAGGCCUAACACAUGCAAGUCGAGCGGAGCGGCAGACGGGGGAGUGAUGCCUAUGACUCUGCCUGGUAGUGGGGGAUAACGUCCGGUAACGGGAGCUAAUGCCACAUACUAUACGAUGAGCAUGGGUCGGAUUAGCUAGUGGGUGGGGUAAAGGCCUACCAAGGCGACGAUCCGUACCUGGUCUGAGAGGAUGAUCAGUCACACUGGAACUGAGACACGGUCCAGACUCCUACGGGAGGCAGCAGUGGGGAAUAUUGGACAAUGGGCGAAAGCCUGAUCCAGCCAUGCCGCGUGUGUGAAGAAGGUCUUCGGAUUGUAAAGCACUUUAAGUUGGGAGGCGUUACCAACAGAAUAAGCACCGGCUAACUUCGUGCCAGCAGCCGCGGUAAUUC